CAGAGACUUAGCGGCCGCCCCAGAUCUAGCCCAAAUCACCAUCUGCUCCAACCCUAGCCGCCGCCAACACGAGACGACGCCGAGCACCCACCGCUGACCACCCAUCGCAGCAGCUGUCCUCUCGGACCACCGCCGCCGCCAAGCACCCUCCUCCGUCGCUGUCAAGUACCCUCCUACGCAGAUCUCGUCCGCCCUCCGCCCAUCCCCAGCGCCGCCCAGAUGUCGCCUCUCCUUCCAUGCUUUCUCCCCGGGCAGCACCGUCUCUCCUAGGGUUUGCGCCACCGACCAUCCUGGUCGCCCCCCUCCCGUGCGUGCUCACCUCGACGUCAUGCUCUCCAGCCUAUCGUCCUUCGUCCGUGCUCCUCCGACCUCCCCCUUUUGUACUUCGAGCGCGAGGUAUGGUCCUGGUGCUUCCCGUUCUCUUGUAUUCUUUACUGUUCUUUCAAUUUUUCCAAUGAUUUGUAACACACAUGAGCACAUCUGCCAAAUCUUCUUCCUCUGCUUUGAGGAAAAUAGCAGAGCACUCUGAUGGAAGAACAUAUCUGGGACAGUCAGCCUCAGCCAGUGAAGACUAUAGCUCUAGGAAUAGUUGCCGCUUUGUUUUACUGAAUGAACCAUCUUUUGGUGGUGCUUGAGUCAUGGGCAUAGAUGCAUCUAACCAAAUAAUGCUUGCUUCUGGGAAGGCACCUGGUGUAGGUGGAGAACAUGUUCUAAGAAAGCGGCUCCAAAAAGAUUUUUCCGCUUCUACUAUGGGACCUUGCAUGUGGGAUGAUGAGGGCAAUCAAAGCAGGUUUUCAAAGACACACAAGUUAAUGGAGGUUUGCAAGAUCUACAUACAAGCGGUUGACGGUUUGGAAGUUCUACAGCGGUUGAAGGUUUGGAGGACAUACAAUUAAGUUGGUGUAGUGAUAAUGUAGUGCACCUAGUUUGUUGAACCUGGAGACAUUGGCAAGUUCUGCUUAUUUUGGUGGUUGUUUUGGUACACAAGCCAUUGGAUGCUCAUUUUGGUUGUGUGGCACAUCUAGAAACAUACGUACUUUUUUGUGCCAGCACAAGUCCUUAUGUAUGGCUGUUUCCUAUAUGUAUGUAUCCAGAAACAUAUGUAUCUGGCAUGUUAUGUUUAUAUUGAAGGAAGUUUAAGGUUUUUAAUGA